UGGUGCUGGUACUGUUAUGGCCGCCGUUUACGAGUUCCUUCUUGCGUCGGCUUUUUAACUUGCCAGGCGCUAUAGAGAUCAAGCGGCCUAUCAAACGCGCCGCCGAUGUGAAUGAUAAAUUGCUGCGCUCAAUCGCCUUUCACGAGGCUUUGGUUUCACGGCCGCUCAGUUACUAUUUAAACCGUUACCCGUGCUGCUAUGCCAUUCUGGAUCGACUGUCGUCGAGGCUGCGGUUGCGAUGCUGCGCCUGGCAGUCGUCAUCAUCUCAGCGGUUGGCCAUGCCAGGACGGAAGAGAAAUGCACGCCGGAAGGAAGCAUAUGCCACUUCCUGACGCAGCCGUGCUGCCCGACGCUGACUUGCAUCCGGUUCACGCGCACCAAUGGCAUGAACGGCAUCUGCAUGCUGGACGUGCACUCGGGCGACGAGUACAACGUGCCCAUCUUCUCGACGCGCCAGGGACGCGCGGAACACAGCACGCCUUCGCUGCCGCCACGCCCGCCGAGGUUCACGCUGCCUCCCAAACCGACGGCGCCAGAUGGCGCCACCAACCCGGCGACGCAGCACUAUUGCUGUACCGCUCAGUUCAUCUGUCACCGCCGCUAGGGGGGGCUCGUGUUGGUGACGAGACUGAGGCAUUUCCCUUUCCGCGACUUCAGGAGACGAAGGUGAUCGGGGGUAUUAUUCCUGGACUGCUGUGAGCCUGUCGGAGGUCGCUGUGGGCCUCUCUGAUUGGCUCAAAAUGCCGCCAUUGCCAAAUUCGACAACAUGGCGGAAUUUGAGGAUGUCCAGCAUAGUAUACCCGGGUAUGAUUAGCGGAAAUACAAACUGCAGGUAAUGGCCCACGUUAACAGGCUAUCUUGAUUGCGAACUCUAAACCAGUUUACUCCCUUUAAGGUGUUUUAUUGUGUCUUUAACUAAAGCAACCUUACACCCUAGCAAAAAAAAAGGCAUUUCCGCAAACCAAGAAGCCCACUCAGUGGGUGCGUUGAGUUGCCAUCACACCCUUUUCUGUAAAGGGUGCAAAGCAUGCCAUUGCAUUCAUUUCUUAGGAGCCAUGCUUGCUAUCGCUAUUCAUUGUCGCGCCUUGCUAUUCCAGUGAAUAAUCAUUAGGCAGCACCAUUCAGAACCGCUAAAACGUAGUAUACUUGUUGCAUGGAGCAAUAGAAGCCACUAAAACCUGCAUGAGAGAAAAAUGGCGGAGUUCUUUUAUCUCUUCCUCAGAUCUACAUUAUGAUAUGGCGACAGUUACAACACAUUCAAGCCCACUCUUUACACAUCACAGCAGCCCGACCCAAGCAUACGCACGGAAUGUCCGCAUACUAACACUGCUCGCGCUGCCUACACCAAUGCACCUUCUAACAGGCUUAUAUAAACAUGGUGUUUCGGCGAGCAGUGUGGUGCCAGUGGGAUCAACUUUAUUCUUCGUAAUUAAACAGUGAAUAUCCAUGGACUGCUUGUUUUAAUAUAGUCAGCUAAUGGGCACCUAAAAUUUACACAUAACUGUUAACAUAAAAUCGUACUCUAUUGAAUGCCUUUCGACUAGCGACUUCAAAUUAUGAGCACGGUGGCGACAUGUACAAAGAACAGGUCGCUUUAACAGCUUAUAACACCCCUUAGCAUCAAAAGGGUCUUUUAGGUGAAUAACACAUCUGUACGGAAACGAAAAAGAAAUUUUUAGUAAUCAGAACACACUAACACCACCAUUUUUUGCAAAUUUGUUUGUCAAAAGGGUGUUUUUGGUGCUCGAAAUCUCCUUAAGGCUGCAAGGUGGUUUAUAGUGAACUUGAACUUCGUUACAUCUUAUACCCGCUGUUACGUGGGUACUUAGUGCACAGUAACCUUCUAUUUUACAGCGACCGCUGUAAACAUGGGAGGGUCUUCGUCGGCCGUGUUCUGGAGCAGUACCUUUUGCAAACCGGUCCGUGAGAGGCGGAACUAGAAGCGAUGCAGCACGUCCUUUCGCCCACACGAAAGGCCGACGCCUUAUUUCUUCGUGAAUAAAAACAAAGGUGAUCAUGCAUUGCA